rnacentral:rRNA from 1 species
AUUGAACGCUGGCGGAAUGCUUUACACAUGCAAGUCGAACGGCAGCACGGGGGCAGCCCUGGUGGCGAGUGGCGAACGGGUGAGUAAUACAUCGGAACGUGCCCGGUCGUGGGGGAUAACGUAGCGAAAGUUACGCUAAUACCGCAUACGAUCUGAGGAUGAAAGCGGGGGACCUUCGGGCCUCGCGCGAUCGGAGCGGCCGAUGUCAGAUUAGGUAGUUGGUGGGUAAAGGCCUACCAAGCCGACGAUCUGUAGCUGGUCUGAGAGGACGACCAGCCACACUGGGAAUGAGAAACGGCCCAGACUCCUACGGGAGGCAGCAGUGGGGAAUUUUGGACAAUGGGCGCAAGCCUGAUCCAGCCAUUCCGCGUGCAGGACGAAGGCCUUCGGGUUGUAAACUGCUUUUGUACGGAACGAAAAGGCUCUGGCCAAUAACUGGGGCUCAUGACGGUACCGUAAGAAUAAGCAACGGCUAACUACGUG